CAGAUGUGGUAGCGGCCCAUGGUGCCCCUGGCAGCGUAGGUGAGCGGACCGCCCAGGGCCUCCUGGCGCCUCGGGGCCAGUUGCAGGCCUUUAAAAGACCGGCCUAGGUCCCCGCCCUCUGCACAAUUUUUAGGCGCUUGAAAGUCCCCGCCCCGGACUAGCCUGAACCUGUGAGAGGAGCCAUAGAGCAGGUUGUGGGAAGGGCCGUGCCUCCUGUGUGGAAAUGCAGGGGCCCCGCCAGGGUAGGGCAGCUAUGGACCUCGGGGAGGGGAACCUGGGGUAGACCCCUCCUAUUUUGAGGGAGCAAGCAUGAGAACACCCUCAAAGGUCUCUAGGUCUGGGGAGGAGCUGUGAGAAAGAGUGGAUGAUCCCCUCUGCUUCUCUGGGCUGGGAACGGGGAUGGCUUCCGUAGGCUGGACUGGGUUAGGGGCCCAGUAAGUGCUCCCUCCCUUGGCUUCCUGCCUGUGAGCCCUGUCCUUCCAUCAGUGAGCAGGGAUUCUUCUCUAGGUAGGGUGUCCAGGCUGCCUAGAACCUGGACCAGUGACAGCUCAAGACUUGCCCCCUGCCAGGUCCCCCAAAACCUUCUCAAAAACUGACUACAGUUUGAGCCACGCUGGUGUGGUAGAAUGGAAAGUAUGGUAGGACGCCGCUCAGCAUCCAGGUGUUAGGGUCCCCGCAUCACCAAAUACCAUGGACCAGACUUCUUGAGAGAGGCCUGAGGCAGGGCAGGGAAAGCUUCAUUUUGUUUAAUCUCCUUGAGGGGUAUGGAGACAGUAUGUUAGGCUACUGUGGGGAAUCACUUAGGCACCCGUGAACUUGGUGCUCUCCAGGUGAGUGAGCGGUUCCCCUUCAGUAGGUUUCAGAUUAAUUUUUGUUCCUGGGCUAUUUCCUGGUCUUCGUGGUAGGAAACCCAGGAGCAGCAGUUCCUCCCAUGCUGGUUGGAGGUUUGCAACCAUUAGAAGGGUGAGUCAGAGCUCAGACACCAUCACCCAUCCAGAAAUCAGUCAGAUGCAGCCUGCAUGGGCCCCUAUCUAAGUUCUCGAUCCACAUUGAUAUGAGCAUCCGGCUCCCAGGGGCUGUGUCUGGCAGUCUGGGCAAAGGUGAAUCUCUUUCCUGAGCCAGACCUGGAAAAGGACUCGCUGCACGGUAUCUGAUCUCUUGUUCUCUGGGCCUGCUCCUGCCUCCAGCCUCUGCGUAUACCCUCGGCUGGUCUCCAGUUCUGUAACAGCCAAAGAAAAUGGCUUACAUUGCCAUCCUAGGUAAUAGCAGAAACUGGCCUUUUCCACUAACCUUCACCUCAGCAAAAAGUUUGUUUCACAUUUAUUUCCCAAGUCAGUCCUUACCUCAUCCUGCCCUUCUGCCCAUGCUGGUAUACUGUGAGGCCACAGGCACAGCGUGGGAAUGAAUAAUUGAGAAAAAAGUCAUCCAAGCUGCUGCAUACGCUAAAUGAUAGAGUAUGUUGAAGCACUUAGAACAGUGUCCGGCACAUAAUCUCUCUCGGUACUAGCUGCUAUUCUUUUAUUACUUUAUUCUCCACCCCUGCAAAAUCUCCCAGGAGUACUCAGCCUCUCAGACCCUCCCUCCUACUUCAUUUUUUCUUUUGCCUUUCUCAGCACAUGCACAGUUUUUUAAUACAAUUUUUAAAAAGAUUGUUUAUUAGAGAGAGAGAGAGAGAGAGCAGAGACAGAGAGAUCUUCCAUCUGCUGGUUCACUCCCCACCCAGAUGGCUGCCAUGGCCGGAGCUGAGCCAAUCUGAAGCCAGGAGCCAGGAGCUUCAUUCGGGUCUCCAUAUGGGUGCAGGGGCCCAAAUACUCUGGCCAUCUUCCACUGCUUUCCCAGGUGCGGUAGCAGGGAGUUGGAUCAGAAGUGGAGCAGCAGGGAGCUUCUCAAACCAGUGUUUGAGCAGUGUUUAUCUCAGCUCUCAAACCAGUGUCCUUAUAGGAUGCUGGCGCCUUAGGCAUCAGCUUUACCCAUUAUGUCACAGCACCGGCCCUGAGAAACAGUAUUAUUAUUGAAUAAGCAUUACUCCAGAAUGUGAUGAACAUUCCAGGCAAUUGCUAAGAAAUUGCAAAGACAGAUACACGGCCAGGCAUAUACAACAAUCAUGUUUUCAAGGUAAAUAACGCGGGGCCGGCGUUUUGGCAUAGUGGGUUGUGGUGUAGUGGGUAAAGCUGCUACCUGCAGUGCCGGCAUCCCAUAUGGGCAUCCCAUCUCGGCUAUUCCACUUCCAAUCCAGCUCUCUGCUAAGGCCUGGGAAAGCAGUACAAGGUGGCCCAAGUCUUUGGGCCCCUGCACCUGUGUGGGAAGACUUGGAGGAGGCUCCUAGCUCCUGGCUUUGGAUUGGCCCAGCUCUGGCUGUUGCAACCAACUGGGGAGUGAACCAGUGGAUGAAAGACCUCGCUUUCUCUCUGCCUCUCCUUCUCUUUCUGUGUAACUCUGACUUUCAAAUAAAUAAAUAAAUAAAUCUUUUUUAAAAAAGAUAAAUAGCUAAUCCUUAAGUAAGAGGACUUGAUAGCUGCAUUUAUCACACGUAGUGUAUACUGGACUGACCUGGUAACUGGGGUGACCUCUGUGUUAGCUAGUUGGCUUAAUCAGAGGAAAAACAAGCUUCUAAUAUCUUUGGGAGGAGACGUAGAUUUGCAGCAUAAGCAAAAUGCCUCUGCAAGUUAGGUUCCUGCCCUUCCAUGGAAACUGGGAGGUGGAACUUUAACGAACUGGCUCCCAGGUCCUCAAGAAAGACAUUCUUGGGUGGUAAGGUUGGCAAGACACGUGUAUAGCUUUUAAAAAAGAUUUGUACUCAUUCCAAAGAGGCAGCAGGAACUUUCUAGUUUGCUAAAGCAAAUGCUCUAUGAAAGGAAGAAAGUCUUUCCCCAUAUUUUCAACAGAUUAAGCCUCUUGCUUUUGAAUUUUGAUUUGUCUUUACAACAACCAUUUUGUUUUUACAUGUGCCAUGGAAGGAGCCAGGCUGAUUGUGAAGCCCACACUGGCACACGCGCAUGCCAGAGCUGCACUCCCUUCUCCCCUUCCCGCUCCCCGUGCCCUGCUGUCUGUGCCUGGUAGCCAACUCCCAUAUUCCCAUCACUGCUCUUGCAGAACAUUUAAUUUCUCAUCAAAGCUUCUCCCAGUAGGUUAUGCCCCUGGGCAUGUAGAUGGGGUGGGUGGACCUUACUUUUCAGCCAAAAGGCUUGCUAAGGAGUUUUUCUAGAUGCAAGACUGAUUCUUUUACAUUCUAACAUAGUAGUGUUGCUCAAACUGCAGUCAUUUCUUUUUUUUUUUUUUUUUAAGAUUUAUAAUUUUGUCUGAAAGGCAGUUACAAAGAGGUAGAGAGAGAGGUAAGUCUUCCAUCUGCUGGUUCACUCCCCAGAUGUUUGCAAUGGCUGGAGCUGGGCAGAUCCAAAGCCAGGAGCCAGGAGCUUCUUCCAGGUCUCCCAUGCGGGUGCAGGGGUCCUAGCACUUGGGCCAUCUUCCACUGCUUUUUCAGGCCAGAGCAGAGAGCUGGAUUGGAAGUGGAGCAGCUGAGACUCUGGUGCCCAUAUGGGAUGCGGGAACUGUAGGCAGCAGCUUUACCCUCUACACCACCAUGCCAGCCCCUGCAGUCAGUUUUGAUGAUAGCUCCAUUGUCUGCUAGGCAAAGAGACUUCAAAACCUUUGUGGGCAAUGGAAUUAAAAUAUAAGUUUAUUUUGAUGCAAACAUUUUUUAAAUUCCUGCAUAGUGUUUUGGGCCCUUGCUUGGCACUGGGCUGUAUAAAUUGGUAUUUGUUCCUUGAAGCGCCUAUACAUUGGACACACAAGCAUGGCAUUAUACACCAUGUAAUUUUAAACCAUAUAAUCAUAGGAUGUGAGUUCAGGGCAGACAUUGUAUCAUUUGUUUUUCCAAUUAGUAAUUUGGGUACUUACCUUUUUUUAUUUGCUGAAAUCCGGCACUUCCCUUUCUGCAUGCUGUCACUUGCUUCUGUCAUUGUCUUCCGGUGUAGCAGGGGAAACCUUGUCCUGUGCCAUCUGGUGGGUCAUUUUGCAGUGCUGCAAGGAUCCCUGCAGAGGCUCCAGCACUGACAUAGAUGUGAGCUUCCAAACUCUUUGUUCACGGUCCCUAACUAUGUGUGCAGCCUCAGCCUCCUGAACCUUCAGGCCUUGGAGUUGAGCAUGGUUCUUUUUUUUUUUUUUUUGAAGAGAUAUUUAUUUAUUUGAAAGGCAGAGUUACAGAGAGGCAGAGGCAUAGAGAGAGAGAAAGAGAGGUCUUCCAUCCGCUGAUUCACUCCCCAAAUAGCUGCAACGGCUGGAACUGGGCUGAUCCGAAGCCAGGAACCAGGAGCUUCUUCCGGGUCUCCCAAAAUAGCUGCAACGGCUGGAACUGGGCUGAUCCGAAGCCAGGAACCAGGAGCUUCUUCCGGGUCUCCCACGACUUUCCACUAACAGUAUGAAGAGUCGGGUCCAGGCUAUGCAAUCGUUGGUUCCACAUGGGCUCGAGUUUUGAGAGGUGUUGGUGCAUUAGCAGGGAGCUGGAUUGGAAGUGGAGCUGCCAGGACUUGAACCCGUGCCCAUAUAGGAUGCCAGCACUACAGAUUUUUCAAGCAUUGAUGCACCCUGAAAGGUUGACAGCCACUGACACUCAGGUUGACCCUGCUUCUGGGCCACUGGGAUCGUGCUGCCCUGAACCCAGGAACGCAGACAGCUCUGUGCGCUGACCUCGUCUGCCCAGCAGUGGACUUGCGGCAUCACAGGCCUUAGGAAGGAGCUUACACGUGUGGAGAAAACCAGCAGGAAAGAUCGAACAAAGUCCCUGCAGAGAAUGGAAACUUUUUAAAAAAA